CCUACAUGAAGCUGGAGUUACUAGUAAUCGCAGAUCAGAAUGCUGCGGUGAAUGCGUUCCCGGGUCUUGUAAACACCGCCCGUCACACCACGGGAGUUGGAGACGCCCGAAGCCGAUUAUCUAACCUGUUGGAAGAAGUCGUCGAAGGUGGAAUCAAUAACUGGGGUGAAGUCGUAACAAGGUAGCCGUAUCGGAAGGUGCGGCUGGAUCACCUCCUUU
rnacentral:rRNA from 1 species